GCCUUCCUAGCGCUUACUACAGUAGGAGCUGCCUUCUAGGCAGAAGGUCGGGGGUUCGAAUCCCUCGCGGGGCGCCA
rnacentral:tRNA from 1 species